GUUUGUUUUUUUUCUUGUAAGUUUGUUGAGUUCUUUGUAGAUUCUGGAUAUUAGCCCUUUGUCAGAUGAGUAGAUCGCAAAAAUUUUCUCCCAUUCUCUAGGUUGCCUGUUCACUCUGAUGAUAGUUUUUUCUUUUUUUUCUUUUUUUGCUGUGCAGAAACUCUUUGGUUUAAUUAGAUCUCAUUUGUCUAUUUUGGCUUUUGUUGCCAUUGCUUUUGGUGUUUUAGACAUGAAGUCCUUGCCCAUGCCUAUGUCCUGAAUGGUAUUGCCUAGGUUUUCUUCUAGGCUCACCCACCUUUUUAACCUGCUUCUGCUCCUACUCAGUUCACCCUUUAUCCAACUUCCACUUCCCUCUGCUGCUCUCCUGCCUCACCUUGACUCUUCGUUGCUUUGCCUAUUGCACACCGAAUUUACUGCAAAUAAAACUCUCUCUGAGAAGGAUGCUGCUGCGUACUGCAUCGUGCAUCCUCCAUCUUCUACUCCACUUGUGGAGUUCCAUGGUAUGAGCAGUAGAGUAGCAGGAGCUGGAGCAGAGGUGGUGUUGGGUGAAACUCACACAGUGAAAUUUCACUUAUGCAAAUGCUCAAGCACUUGUGAGAGGUUAGAAUUAGCUCUUUCUUUGGAAUGAGCUAUUUCAGUGAGAUGUUAAAGUGUAAGCUCUUUCACCAAAUAAAUAUUUAUGUGCUCAGGGUGAGUGAAAGAAAGGGGUAAAUAAGGAUUAGUGCUGCAGGGUCAGAGCUAAUGACACAAGCUUCUCUCCUCAGGCCUAUUCAUUUGAGAUACAUCUCAGGCACUUAAGCACAGCAAUGCUAAGUUGGUGCUGAUUAUAUACAUACAUACAUAUAAAUAUAUAGAAAGCAUAUAAUAUAAAUAUUACAUACGUAAAUAUAAAUUGUAGCAAUAAAAUCAACACCAAGCUUGUUUUUAAUCAUUCACUCAAAAUACAUUGAACAGCUACUGUGCAGUGUUGGGACUGCUUAGAAACUUAAGACAAAAUACUGGGCAUGAUAAUGUGUGCCUGUAGUCCCAGCUACUCAAGAUGCCUAGGCAGGAGGAUGGCUUGAAUUCAAGAGUCCAAGUGCAGCCUGGGCAACAUAGUGAGAUUCAGUCUUUUUUUUUUUUUUUUUUCUGAAAUGGAGUCUCACCCUGUGGCCCAGGCUGGAGUGCAGUGGCACAAUCUUGCCUCACUGCAACCUCCACCUCCUGGGUUCAAGUGAUUCUCCUGCCUCAUCCUUCUGAGUAACUAGGAUUACAGGCAUGCGCCACCACACUCAGCUGAUUUUGUAUUUUUAGUAGAGAUGGGGUUUCACCAUGUUGGCCAGGCUGGUCUCGAACUCCUGACCUCAAGUGAUCCACCCACCUCGGCCUCCCAAAGUGCCGGGAUUACAGGCACGAGCCACCAUGCCCAGCCAAGACCCAGUCUUUAAAAUAAUGACAUAAAAUAAACACAUAAACCUCAAACAAACAAAACACAAACUAUGAUUUCAAUCAUUCUGAAGCUCUUGAUCUAGUAGAUGAGUUAUAUAUAUAUAUAUAUGCCAAAAAUAUUACAAUUUUAGAGAAGUGUUAUAGGGUCUAAUGUUUAAUAACUUCUGGCAUUUGACUGAUGGUUUUCAAAGCUCUUUCCCCAUUUUCCAGGGGGCAUAAAUUAAGGCAAAUUUUUUUAGUAUUUACUAAAUUUGGGCUUCUUCAUAUGCAAGGGGAUUAUGAUAAUAAUACUUACCUUGUGAGGACAGUAUGAGGACUAAACAAAAUUGUGUAUUUAUAGCUUUGGCCAAUCCCCAUACACACUGAGCGCUCAACCAGGUGUUAGCUACCAGAUUUUAAAUUUUUAAUUAUGUUUAUAGUUUUUAAGGUAACAUUUACAUUCAUUGAAUGUUAACUGAAUGUUUUUGAUGAAUGAAUACACUUAUGUAAUUCAUAGCCCUAUCAAGACAGACCAUUUUUAGCACCCAGAAAUUUAUCUUGUGUACCUUCCCAGUGAAUCCCCUGCUAGAAGGAACUGCUGUUAUGAUUUUUUCACCACAGAUUAAUUUUGCCUUUUCUGGAAUUUCAAAUAAAUGGGAUGGUAUGUACUCUUUUGUGUCAUUUAUUUAUCUUCAGAUACUUUAAAAUAAAAAGGUCCAAUUGGGGAUGUAGUAAAAACCUCCUUCCCACCAGUAGCCACCAGUCAAGAUUCUUUCCCUCUCUCUCUCUUUUUUUUUUUGACAGGAUCUUGCUCUGUCAUCCAGGCUGGAGUGCAGUGGCAUGAUCAUGGCUCACUGCAGCCUCUCAACCUUCUGGGCUCAAGCAAUCCUCCCACGUCAACCUCCCAAAUAGCUGGGACUACAGGUGUCCACCACGCCCAGCUAAUUUUGCUUGUAUUUUGUGUAGAGACAGGGACUCACGAAGUUGCCCAGGCUAAUGUCAAACUCCUGAGCUCAAAUGAUCUGUCAGCCUUGGCCUCCCAAAGUGCUUGGAUUACAGGCAUAAGCCACUGUUCCUGGCUUGGUCUUCCUCUCUUGAAGCAACCAAUAUUAUUAGUUUUAUGUGGACCAUCCCAUGGCUAUCAUUAUUAAUUCAGGUGUUUAUACAAUGCUCUCUGAGAACUCAGUUUUAAAGAUUACCCAAAGAAUCCCUGCGACAACCCAGCCUAAAACGAUAUAAAAUCAGUUUUAAUAUAACUGAAGUUUUUAGAUUCUGACUCUAAAUAUUAGAUUGUGACAUUUUACCUUUCUCUGACUUUAUGCUAAAUUUACUUCAACUUCUAACAUCUAUCGUUCUCAUUUAUGAACAAAUAUGUAUUUCACAAAUGUGGAAAUACAACCAUGAGCCAAACAAAACCAAAUCCUGGACUUAUGGAGCUGAUGGUAAAAAAUUCCCCAAGAUAACCACUGGAUUACAGUUUUAUGCAAUGUGAUAAGAGUAAGGGACCACCGUAGGGAGGUCAGAAGUUGCCUCUCAGAGGUGGAGACUACAGCUGUUGUCAGAAGGAUGAGGGUUGGAAGAAUCUUCAGGCACAGAGCAAAGCAUGAGCAAAAGCUCUGUGGAGUCCAGGAAGCUGGGUAAAUAGGAAUAAAAGAGGCCAGUUUGGCUGGAGCAGAGAGAAAAGAAUGGAAUUGGUCUGACCUGUGAGAAGAGAUGGAGAGGUGGGCAAGGUGCCUGGCCAUUCAGGGCUUGGUUAGUUAGGAGGUUUUGUCUAAGAGAAUGGGAAGGUGUUUAAGUGGUUUGGGCUGGGAAGUGACAGGGUUCACAUUACAUUUUGAAAAAGCCACUCUGCCUGUUGUGUUGAGAUUAGAGAGGUGAUAAAGGGGAUAUGGGUAAACCACAGGGAGACUAGGUCAGUUGUCCCUCCACCCCCACUCCCCAGGUGAAGGUAGCCUAGACUAGGGUGGUGAUGGAGGAGACAGAAGAGGACAGAUUCAAGGAAAAUUUGGAAGGUAAAAACCAGUAGGAUUUGCUGAUGGAUGGAAUACAGGAGGGGAGAGGUAGAUUAUCAGGGAUGUAUCUUAGUUUUCUUAUAGAAGAUGGAUUCAAUUGCAAUGAAAUUGUUAAUUGAAAUUUACUUUAAAUAAUGGCACGACCUAAAGUUAUGCAAACAUUUGCCUUAGAUAAAAUUUCAAGUUUUCAAAGUUUUUAGCUGGGUGGACAGCAUGGCUUUACUUCGUAUGUCUUGGUUAUUUCCUAAUCUUGUUGAAAAAAAAGUUUUUCUUUUUCUCAAAGGCUUAUUUCAGUGGAAGCCCAUCUGCGAAAUGUGUUAUAAAUUUAAAUUGGAAAAUACAAGUGCCAUCGACACGUUGGUUACUGUUUUUGCGAGUGACCUAAGGCCACCUCUCGGAGGAGCUGGGGCUGCCUUCUGAAGCCUGCGCGUCUGCGGCCCGAGCCUGCAAGUCAGACUACGGGGCGGUGCGGAAGCGCGAGGCCUGGAGUCCUAAACGCCCGGUAGCUCCCGGCUCCCAAGGGGGUGUGUCUCCCGCCUCUUUAACCUGGCAGGGGCGGUUCCAGUGGCCGGGGAAAUCAGCGAAUUGCAGGGUCAAGGGCUGGUGCUUUGAAAAAGAGGCGGAGGGGAGAGAGGGAUUUCCCCGUCCCCGCUGCACUCCAUCCUCCGUUACUCGUUUUCUCAGCCCCUGCGGCCCCUAACCUGCUCCAACCCGUUGUGCGGUAGAGGCGGCAGUGUCCUUUUAAGUCCCUGCUACGCCUGCGCUGGGCGGCGGUAGAGACAGCGGCGGUGCUGGGACGGGUAGGUGAGGGUCGCGAGGCUGCCUGAGCUUCUGAGUGAGCCUGGUGCUUUUGGGAACGCGGGACGGGCCACCUGCGGCGCCAAGAGCAAGGCCGAGGCACCGCGCCGCUGCCGCCUGGAUGGGAAGUUAAGGCUUAUUGCGAAGUACACCCAGCGUUCCGAGGUGAGGGCGCUGCGCCAGGCCAGGCGGGCGGCGAGUCUGGGACCUGCGGGCGCACAGCUGGGCUGAGGCGCGGCUCGCGGGGGCCCCCGCAAGUUUUGCCACGCGAAUGGGGCUGACGCGCCAGGCCCCGCCGGGGCCUACUUUCCCUGCGCUGGAUUCCUCGCUUGCGGCUGCCGCCCGCAGCCCUCCUCUCAUGGGCGCUGGGGAAGAAACUCGCUGGCGGGUGUUCUGUGGCAUCCCAGGGAGUGGAGGAACGGAGCAGCUUGGGGGGCACGUCCUUGGAAGUCCUGUGGAGCACACUGACCCCACACCCCACCCUCGAGGAGGUUCCUUCUGGGAACCUGAGGGGCAAGAGUGCUCGCGCCCCUGACUUGCAAAGUUGGGGUCUUUAUUGGCCUCAGGGAUUGUGCUCCUGGCGGUGUCUCCAGGCUGGUGAUGGGCAAGCCAGGUGUGCCAGGUCCAGGAUGCACGUGAGGAGCGUUUGUAGCCAUCACUGAAUCACCUCAUGACUAGCGGGACAAGCGUCAAAUUCACAGCAGGAUUUCUGGCAAUCUGAAGGCAAAUCCUAUUUAGACCCAGGCAAAGGUUCCUGGUGACCCAGGCUCUCACCAGCUGAUUGUCCCUUACCGUCCUCCUGAGGGUGUCUGGAGCUUCAGUGCUGUGUGCUCUUGGCCUCCACCCUUGGGGUGCCACCGACUCCCACUGUCCAGGGCUUCCAGUGGACUCUCUGAGGCACUGACGUAGAAACUUCCCCAUUCAGUGCACCAAGAGCAGCCUCACACGGUGUGGGCCGACAUGAAGAGCUGCCAGAUCCAACAGGAUGGAAUACAAUGGCACGAUCUCAGCUCACUGCAACCUCCACCUCCUGGGUUCAAGUGAUUCUCCUGCCUCAGCCUCCUGAGUAGCUGGGAUUACAGGCACCUGCCACCACACCUGGAAAUGUGAUUGAUAACAGUAAAGCCACACUCUUCACAUACCUGAAAUACCCCUCACUGUCUUCUUCAGGUGUCAAGGGCUCUGGAACAGCCACAUAAAGGUGAGGGCAAUGUUUUUACUGUAGUUCUUUCAUUGAUUGAUUGAUUGAUUGAAUUUUUUUCUCUUAGAGGGGUUAGCAUCCAUGUAUCUAAAAUUGAAAUUCAAGAGGAGAGACAGGCACCUGUACUAGUUUUCUCUUGCUGCCUAUUAUCACAUUACCACAAACCAGUGGUUUGAAACCACAGAAGUCUGGAAUGAAGUGGCUGGAUUCUCUGAUGAGAGUCAUGUGAGGCUAAAAUCCAGGAAUGGGCUGGCUGUAUUUUUUUAUAGAGCUCAAGUUAUUUUUCCAAGUUCACUACAGAUACUGAAGGCCUUCCUAUUCUUGUUUCUGGGGGACUGAGGGCCCUUUGUCUUUGCUGACUGUCAGCCGGGAGACACUCUGACUCCAGAGGCCACCUGCUUUCCUCCUUACCUCUCUUUUCCAUCAUCAACCAAUAAUAACUCAUGGAGUCCUUCUCAAGCUCCUACCUUCUCUGAGUACAGAUCCUUGACAUAAUUCCCUUACCUCCUUUGACCUGUGAAACUGAGCUAACAGCUUAUCUGCCCCUGAUUUGAAAUGAUGGGACAGACAGAAUAACAACUACAGUGAUUCUAGUUCAAAAUGAGGGAAGAUGGAGGGGAUAAAGAAGUCACUGACCUAAAAUAGUUUGGAAAUGGAGCUGGGCAAAAUCCAGCAGGAGUUUCUUAAUUAGGAUCCACAGCCUGGGACUGACCUGCCAUCCUGUGGGUCUUUGCCUCUGGGCUCUCUGCUCUGCAUUUCUUGAAACCAUUAUUGUUUAUCUUUUUUCUCACACUCUUUUGUGUGUGGCUCCUGUUGCACUCAAAAUGUUUUUGAGAUUCAUCCAUGUUGUUUUGUGUGUCAACAGUUUGUUCCUUUAGCCAUUCCAUGGAAUGAAUGUGUCAAAGUUUAUUGAUCCAUUCUUGUACUGACAGAUACUUGAAUGUUUCCAGUUUUUCCUAUUGUGAAUAAAACUGCUAUGAACAUUCUUGUAU